CAUUCUCUAAACUCUAAAAAAAAGGGGGAAAAAAAGCUGGUUUUGAUCAGCUUCUGGCUUUUUAAAAAAAACUAGCUUGGAAAAAAACAUUGCCCUCAAGAAAAGGGGCACUAUCGGUCAAGUUCUAUUCUGAAGAGCUUUCUUCUGCCAAAAAUGGGAAGAAAAUCUUGGGCAGUCAGACCACUUGUGUUUCCCUGACACUGCGCUUUUGAACAGAUACGAUAAAUAACAAAAAUGCUUCAUUUUGGUUUCCGAAUACUGAAUAGAAGGGUGGGAGGUUCAGGCUCCUGUGUCAUGAACAGCUGCAGCCAGCAUGAAGUCUGAUAAUAGGACUAUGAAAUAAUGCUAAAUUAGGAAAAACUCAAGUCUCUUAAAUUCAUCAAAAAGAAUCGUCCUAUGAAACGUGUUACCUAUUUUAUAGGAGUAUUGUGAGUGGAAUGAGGUUUUUAAAAGAGCACCAAUGGUAGAAAAUAUUUUAGACUCCUCAGCAAUGCGAUUUUACUACAAAAAUCAAGGCUUGGCUCUGUGAAGGGGGUCUCCCAGAAAGAACUUCACACAAAGAUAAUCUCCCAGCUGUUCAGAGUGCUACCAUUUAGAAAUCUUUCUCUAUUUCUCUCUGCUAGGUGCCUGAGAAGUUUAGUGUACCUAGUUAAAAGGAAAAUAAAACAGGGACACUUGUGAAACACAACCUGUACUUUAGGAAGGACAUUGAUAAAGUGCAGCAUGUCCCAAGGGAGGCCACCAGAAUGCGCAUGUUAUAAUGGGGAUUCAUUUAUGGUACAAACUGAAGUAGCUGACCUCUGAAAUCCAUCCCAUCCCUGAGACUUCACGAGUCUUCUUUCUGACUUUAGUUAUUUUUAAGGAAGGGCCAGCUUUUAGAACAUGAGUGGGAGGCACAAAGUUGCAGCUUGGUUUCAAGAGAUUAGUGGGUGGCUUAGUGGACAAUAGUGAGACAAAAAGGCUGCAAUGGAAAGAAACCAGGCCAAUUUGGCAUGAAAGAAGGGCUAUGCCAGUUUAGGAGAUAAGGAAGAAGAUCAUCAAUUGCCAUCCAGGAAUCCUGCUAUCCUACAGGGAGAGAGAUGGCCACAUGGGAAUUGGGAUCUAGUAUUGUUACACCACCAAGCUACUCUUCAAGAAUGUCUGGUUUUCUAUUCAAAGAAGAUUUGGCCACUAUCUUGCAGAUGGACUGAAACAAUGAACUUCUUAAGUCACAGGAGGAAAAGAAGGUGUUACUAGUAGCUAGCCCCUCAAUUCUUAACUGCCAUCCAGUCACAUUAUUUCCUGUGUCUCAGCUAUGUAUUAUGUUGUCCUCAAUCCCAUGAUGUCACCUAUCAUGUUCUAUUCUUUGUUCUGUAUUUCCCAAAAUCUAUAAAAUAAAACUGUGCCCCUCAUCUGGGGUUUUCCCCACUUA